GAAACGGCUGCUAAUACCGCAUAACGCAGCGGCACCACAUGGUGACAGUUGUUAAAGCGGGGGAACUUCGGUCCUCGCGCCUGGAGAGGAGCCUGCGGCGGAUUAGCUAGUUGGUAGGGUAACGGCCUACCAAGGCAACGAUCCGUAGCCGGCCUGAGAGGGCGGUCGGCCACACUGGCACUGACAUACGGGCCAGACUCCUACGGGAGGCAGCAGUCGGGAAUUUUGGGCAAUGGGCGAAAGCCUGACCCAGCAACGCCGCGUGAAGGAUGAAGUUUUUCGGAAUGUAAACUUCACAAGAAUGGGAAGAAUAAGUCUGGGCUAAUAUCCCUGACGAUGACGGUACCAUUUGUAAGCUCCGGCUAACUCCGUGCCAGCAGCCGCGGUAAUACGGGGGGAGCAAGCGUUGUUCGGAUUUACUGGGCGUAAAGGGCGCGUAGGCGGCGCAACAAGUCACUUGUGAAAUCUCCGGGCUUAACUCGGAGCGGCCAAGUGAUACUGUCGUGCUAGAGUGCGGAAGGGGCUACUGGAAUUCUCGGUGUAGCGGUGAAAUGCGUAGAUAUCGAGAGGAACACCUGCGGCGAAGGCGGGUAGCUGGGCCGACACUGACGCUGAGGCGCGAAAGCUAGGGGAGCGA
rnacentral:rRNA from 1 species